AAAACAGUCCAGAAUCUUUGGAGAACCAGAAAUUGAGAGUGAUGCCCGUAUUUCUAAUGAGCCCUCAGUGUUGAGAACUGUAAUUCUACAAUUAUACAGAUCAAAGAUGCUCUAUGGCCCAGUGAGUCUGAAACUUCAACAUGUGUCAGACAGAACUUACUGGCUGGAGUUGUGGUCCUCGGCUGAUAGGCAUGCGAGAGAGAAACACCCAGACACAAAGGAACCCAUGGGGACAUGUGUGACUGUAAGUCUCUAAUUAUCCUUUCUAAUUCUGGAGCCAUGUGACUGGACUUCACACAGCACUGCUGAACCCUGGGGGCCUGAGGCUCCCCAGCUGGACCACUAAGGGAGAGAAUGCUACUCUUCGCUCCUUCAUUAAAAAUAUUGCAUUACA